rnacentral:rRNA from 1 species
CCUACGGGUGACUGCAGUGGGGAAUAUUGCACAAUGGGCGGAACCCUGAUGCAGCGACGCCGCGUGAGUGAAGAAGUAUCUCGGUAUGGAAAGCCCUAUCAGCAGGGAAGAAGAUGACGGUACCUGACUAAGAAGCCCCGGCUAACUACGUGCCAGCAGCCGUGGUAAUACGUAGGGGGCAAGCGUUAUCCGGAUUUACUGGGUGUAAAGGGAGCGUAGACGGCAGGGCAAGUCUGGAGUGAAAGACCGAGGCCCAACCCCGGGACUGCUUUGGAAACUGCAGUGCUAGAGUGCUGGGUCAGCAAGCGGAAUGCCUAGUGUAGCGAUGAAAUGCGUAGAUAUUAGGAGGAACACCAGUGGCGAAGGCGGCUUACUGGACAGUAACUGACGUUGAGGCUCGAAAGCGUGGGGAGCAAACAGGAUUAGAUACCCCUGUAGUC